UCCGGGUAUGAGUGCCGCUUUGUGUUUGUCAUCCUUCCAGAAAGCUGCGUCUACCGUUCAUUCGGCCGGAUGUAUGCGAUCUGGAUCUAUUACUUUGAAAAAAUUAGAGUGUUUAAAGCAGGCUUAUGCUGUGAAUACAUUAGCAUGGAAUAAUAAUUUAGGACUUUGGUUCUAUUUUGUUGGUUUCUAGGACUGAAGUAAUGAUUGAUAGGGAUAGUUGGGGGUGCUAGUAUUCCGCGGCCAGAGGUGAAAUUCUUGGAUUCACUGAAGACUAACUACUGCGAAAGCAUUCACCAAGGAUGUCUUCUUUAAUCAAGAACGAAAGUUGGGGGAUCGAAGACGAUCAGAUACCGUCGUAGUCUCAACCAUAAACUAUACCGACUAAGGAUCAGUGGACGUCUUAUUUCGACUCCAUUGGCACUUUAUGAGAAAUCAAAGUCUUUGGGUUCCGGGGGGAGUAUGGUCGCAAGGCUGAAACUUAAAGGAAUUGACGGAAGGGCACCACCAGGAGUGGAGCCUGCGGCUUAAUUUGACUCAACACGGGAAAACUCACCCGGCCCGGACACUGUAAUGAUUGACAGAUUGAGAGUUCUUUCUUGAUUCGGUGGUUGGUGGUGCAUGGCCGUUCUUAGUUGGUGGAGUGAUUUGUCUGGUUUAUUCCGAUAACGAACGAGACUCUAACCUGCUAAAUAGUUCUGCAGUAGCUUCGCUGCAGCAACUUCUUAGAGGGAUCAGUGG
rnacentral:rRNA from 1 species